CCUACGGGAGGCAGCAGUGGGGAAUUUUGGACAAUGGGCGAAAGCCUGAUCCAGCAAUGCCGCGUGGGUGAAGAAGGCCUUCGGGUUGUAAAGCUCUUUUGUCAGGGAAGAAACGGUGCGGGCUAAUAUCCCGCACUAAUGACGGUACCUGAAGAAUAAGCACCGGCUAACUACGUGCCAGCAGCCGCGGUAAUACGUAGGGUGCAAGCGUUAAUCGGAAUUACUGGGCGUAAAGCGUGCGCAGGCGGUUUUGUAAGUUUGUCGUGAAAGCCCCGGGCUCAACCUGGGAAUUGCGAUGAAGACUGCAAGGCUUGAAUCUGGCAGAGGGGGGUAGAAUUCCACGUGUAGCAGUGAAAUGCGUAGAGAUGUGGAGGAACACCGAUGGCGAAGGCAGCCCCCUGGGUCAAGAUUGACGCUCAUGCACGAAAGCGUGGGGAGCAAACAGGAUUAGAUACCCUGGUAGUCCACGCCCUAAACGAUGUCUACUAGUUGUCGGGUUUUAAUUAACUUGGUAACGCAGCUAACGCGUGAAGUAGACCGCCUGGGGAGUACGGUCGCAAGAUUAAAACUCAAAUGAAUUGACGG
rnacentral:rRNA from 1 species